AUCGCUUCUCGGAAUUUUGGCUAAGAUCAAGUGUAGUAUCUGUUCUUAUCAGUUUAAUAUAAAGAUUUUUUUCUAAUCACAAAGGUAAUACAUGCUCAAUGAUGAAAAACUUUA
rnacentral:snRNA from 1 species